GAGCAAGCCGGUGAGCAGCAGCAGCAUCAGUGCCCAUGUCAAAGCAAGUGGCCUACGGGACAGAGGAACUUGAACAGGCCAGUCACGCACACAUGGCUGGAGGGAUUUCUCACAUUGUCCACUUGUGAACUGUAGCUGACCGGCUUUCCCUCAACUUCCAUUCAGUGUUUCCGCAAUAUCCUUCAUGAAGCAACUUCAGCGUGAUUGAGUGUUCAUGAAGCUGAAUUACUGAAGAGUGCACAAGGAUUAGACUCUACAUACUGCAGGACAAGAUCGACAGGAUUGACCGGUAUGACACACAGGGCGGGGAGGGAACAGAGUAGAAUAUGCCGGACACCUAGCACCGGGAGUGUGCCCUGGAAGCUUAUUUGUAUCCUGCUUAAUGGUGCAUUUAUUUCAGGAGAAUGAAAAGCAGGAAGGGGAAUGCUACAGCCUUAACAGUCGGACACAUCUGUUUCAAAAGAAAAGUUUUAUUGUACCUGUAAAUGAGACUUUAAAAACAAGAGUAGCUGGGAAAUGUGCUCCUGAUGAAUAAAUAAUACUAAAGAUGAAGACAAUGUCUAGUAUGAAUAAACUACGAACUUCAGCAGCAAGAAUAAAUGUAAAGUAAGGAGAGGAGGGGAUACAGCCCAGUUUUACAAGGCAUGGUGGCUUCGUAGUGACUGCAAUGACAUUAUAAAUAUGUGCGUUUAAAGUAAAAAUAGCUUAUGUUGUGAAGUCUUUAAAAAAAAAAAAAAAA